GUUGGUUAUUUCUUUUCCCCAUCUUCAAUGCCAGCAGAUGAUAUUGCUACCGUCAUUAAGGAUGCCAAUCGCCACCUACAUCAUAUAGGGCUGACAGUGCAGGCAGUAAUAUGUGACCAGGGAAGCCCUAAUGUGAAGGCUGUGCGGAACCUUGGGGCUAACCUGGACCCUCUGGGAGGUGAGGAGUCCCACUGUAUCCUGGUGGGGGUUCAGAGGUGAUUUUUGAUGUCCCUCACCUUCUGAAAUCAAUCAGGAACAACCUGUUUAAACACGCCCUACAGACACAAGGAAAAAAAAUUCUAUGGAAGCACAUCAGCCAAUUCUAUGAGCUGGACAAGCACCACACUAUUCGGAUGGCCCCGAAGCUAAUUGAUAAGCACAUUCUGCUGCC
ensembl:lncRNA